rnacentral:rRNA from 1 species
GAUGAACGCUGGCGGCGUGCCUAAUACAUGCAAGUCGAGCGAACGGACGAGAAGCUUGCUUCUCUGAUGUUAGCGGCGGACGGGUGAGUAACACGUGGAUAACCUACCUAUAAGACUGGGAUAAUUUCGGGAAACCGGAGCUAAUACCGGAUAAUAUUUUGAACCGCAUGGUUCAAAAGUGAAAGACGGUCUUGCUGUCACUUCUAGAUGGAUCCGCGCUGCAUUAGCUAGUUGGUAAGGUAACGGCUUACCAAGGCAACGAUGCAUAGCCGACGUGAGAGAGUGAUCGGCCACACGGGAACUGAGACACGGUCCAGACUCCUACGGGAGGGAGCAGUAGGGAAUCUUACGCAAUGGGCGAGAGCCUGACGGAGCAACGCCGCGUGAGUGAUGAAGGUCUUCGGAUCGUAAAACUCUGUUAUUAGGGAAGAACAGAUGUGUAAGUAACUGUGCACAUCGUGACGGUACCUAAUCAGAAAGCCACGGCUAACUACGUG